rnacentral:rRNA from 1 species
GAUGAACGCUGGCGGCGUGCCUAAUACAUGCAAAUCGAGCGAACAGACGAGGAGCUUGCUCCUUUGACGUUAGCGGCGGACGGGUGAGUAACACGUGGGUAACCUACCUAUAAGACUGGGAUAACUUCGGGAAACCGGAGCUAAUACCGGAUAAUAUUUCGAACCGCAUGGUUCGAUAGUGAAAGAUGGCUUUGCUAUCACUUAUAGAUGGACCUGCGCCGUAUUAGCUAGUUGGUAAGGUAACGGCUUACCAAGGCAACGAUACGUGGCCGACCUGAGAGGGUGAUCGGCCACACUGGAACUGAGACACGGUCCAGACUCCUACGGGAGGCAGCAGUAGGGAAUCUUCCGCAAUGGGCGAAAGCCUGACGGAGCAACGCCGCGUGAGUGAUGAAGGUCUUCGGAUCGUAAAACUCUGUUAUUAGGGAAGAACAAACGUGUAAGUAACUGUGCACGUCUUGACGGUACCUAAUCAGAAAGCCACGGCUAACUACGUG